UUUUCAGCAAUUAACUAGUGAUUAUCAACUACUUUUAAUUAUUAUCAACUUAGCCAAACAGGCAAAGAAAAAUGAAUUACAACAAGUUUAAGACAAUUCCCACGCUAUAUAUUUUUUAAAAAUUCCAACUAUAUACUAGUUGAAGGGACUUAAAAAACUCGAAAUUAAUAAAUAUGUGGUUCCCUAAUAAUGGUUGUGGCUGAUCUAGGACACAAGCUAUAGAUUCAUGGAAAUCACUAACUUUUAUUCAAAUUCUAUAAAUAUAUUAAGAAAUUUAUUAAAUAUUUAUAAAUAUUUAUCUUUUGAACUCAGUUAUUUAUUAUGCAUUAACUUGAGUUGUUGUAAAACUCAUACUAAACUUCAAAUUCUUGAUUCAUCUCUGCUUGCUGGUGGUAAGAAAGAGCUACCUCGAGAGCUAAGUGUGGUUGCAGUUCUGGAGAUACAACAACUUAUCCAUUUACUCGAAUGCUUCAAUCCACGGAAAAAAUGAGCAAAAAUUCGCCUCUUGAUUCUUCCUCUAAUUGACGGAACCCUCAGUACAGUAGUUUUCGUCUUUCUUCUUGAGGAUGAGAUUGAUUCUUUGGUUGCCAACAUAUUUAGGGUUUUGGAGAUGUUGUGCAUGAGUGAAAUGGGCAGUGCUCCUAAAUAAUAAUAAAAACUUGUUUUCAUAGAGAC
rnacentral:lncRNA from 1 species